UGUUUUUUAGAAAUAAAUUUAAUUUAUGAAUUUUUAAAUUUUUUAAUUGUUUUAUUAAUUAAAAAAAUUAUUGAUUUAAGUAUUUUAAGGGAUAAGCUUUAAAGUAAAUUAUUAUAAAUUAAUAAAUUAUUAUUUAAAAUAUAUGCAUAGAAUUAGCAAUUAUUAUUAAGUUUGUUUUAAAUUAUUUUUAAAAAUAUAUUAUUUAUUAUUUUUUAAUUAUAUAUAAAAAUUUUUUUUAUAAUUUUAUUUGUAAAUUAAUAAUGAUAAAAUUAGUAUAUAUUAAUGUAAAAAUAAGUAGAUAUGGUAAGUUUAUAUAAAGAACUCGGCAAAUAUUUAUACUCGCCUGUUUAACAAAAACAUGUCUUUUUGAGUUAUUUUUAAAGUCUAACCUGCCCAAUGAAUAAUUUUUAAUGGCCGCAGUAUUUUAACUGUGCAAAGGUAGCAUAAUCAUUAGUCUUUUAAUUGAG
rnacentral:rRNA from 1 species